rnacentral:snRNA from 1 species
AUACUUAUCUGGCAGGGGAGAUACCAUGACCAUGAAGGUGAUUUUCUCAGGGCAAGGUUUAUCCAUUGCACCCCGGAUAUGCUGACCCCUGCGAUUUCCCCAAAUGUGGGAAACUCAAUAGGAUAAUUUGUGGUAAUGGGGGACUAA